CCGUCAAGAUACCUGUCACACCCCACGACCCGCCAAUUUGGUCAGAUCCGGGCACAUCGAACAGACGCCGGACGGACAGCACCUCCCCUGUCCGCCCAAGGCUAAACAACAACAAUAUCAUGUACAAGAGUUGCUCAGGAAAAACUCAUUCAAUAUACACGAUACAUGAAAGUGUAAGAAGCACCACAAGUGCGAUACAAUUAAGAGCAAGAAUUACAAGUAACAUACAAGUGAAUAAAGAGAGACGGUUCUAGCUAUUAUAUCACAUUCAAUAUUUACAUACUGAUUUACAUUUUGACUGCAUUCUUUUCAUCUACCAAAAUGAAUACAUAUUCUUCUCAUAAUACCAAAUGGCUCUCCAACUAGCACCCUCACCAAUAUACAACACAUAUCACUCAUGUACACGAGAGUACUCUAAUGCAAAAUGGAAGCCGCUAAGUAAUUAGGGUGCUAUGCCCUUACCGCGAUCAACUGCCGGUACGCUCUCGCUAGGCCCUGCAACAAAGUGGGGUGAGAACUAUAUAAAUAUAGUUUCCAGUGGGUUCGGCCGCCGACUCCGCCGAUCUUCCCAUUAGGUCUAAGCAGGUAUAAACAGAUAGAUAGAUAGAUAUGAAAU
rnacentral:lncRNA from 1 species